AUGAAUGAAAAAAUAGCAGUAAAAUUGCCCCAAAUAAAACUGUCCCUUUCAAACUUAGCUGCAGGAGUCACGUGUUCCACUCUGGGGUACUUCAGUGCUUCCUUGGCUGCAUUCUGCAGAAACUUGAGGCUCAAUGACGGCUUCCCACUUUUCUUCUUUCCCUAUUUUUAUUUACACUUUCCCUUUUUCUUUCCUCUUUUCUUUCUUUCCCUAUUCUUUCCAACUCCCCCACCUCCUUUUUUUUUGGAAAAAUACAUCCACCGAUCAUGUAAAUACAUCCAUUGAUCAUGUAGCAAAGCUAAGCUAAAAAAUGUGUGUACUUGGAUUAUUCUACAUGUGAGUCUUGUGGGGAAAAAUUAGAGUGAAGGGUUCAAGGUCUCCCACGUUGAUUUGAUAGCAAAUCCUGUACUUCAGGAAACAGUGGUCUAAAUAGGUGGACAACCACCGCUCACAUUAGUCCACCCAACAUGGUCCAGUUAGAGAUUUUUUAGGAAGUAAGUACUCAUUAUCCUUUUUUGCAUAUCCUCACAUUUUGAACUUUUUAGGUCUCCUUGCGGCGGCAGCAAGUGGGUGAAAGACUGAAUGAAUGGGCAGUCUUCAGUGAGAAGAACAAGGAGCUCUGUGAAUGGUUGACUCAGAUGGAAAGCAAGGUCGCUCAGAAUGGAGAUAUUCUCAUUGAAGAUAUGAUACAGAAGCUCAGAAAGGUAUGGGAUGCUACCCAUGUUUUCACUCUUCUUUGUGUGCAAAAAGUUCAGGCAUCUCUCAGUAAUCCUGGACAUGAGUCCUGCAAACCCUGCAAAUGUCAACAUCUGUGGGUGCUCAAGUCCCUUAUGUAAAACAAUGUAGUAUUUGCAUAUAACCUGCCAGUUCUCCCAUAUGCUUAAACCGUCUGUAGAUUACUUACAUGACCAAAUCCAAUGUAAUACUUUGUCAAUAGAUGUUAUACUGGAUUGUUUAGGGAAUGAUGACAACAGAAAUAAUCUGUGUAUGUUCAGAACAGGCACAAUUUUCCCCCAAAUAUUUUAAAUCUGAAGUUGGUAGAAACCCACAGAUGUGGGAUCCAUGGAAAAGAGGGCCAGCUUACUCACAGUUACUGUCUGGGAAAAGCAAUGCUAUAUUUUAAACAUUUCAUCUUUUAAAAAUAAACUUUCAUGGCAAAACUUACUUUAUUUCUAA
rnacentral:lncRNA from 1 species